AGGGUUCUUCUUAUUAUAACUUUAUUUAUUUUAUUUUGUUGAAUAUCAGUAACAUUUAAGUGUUUUUUUUGUUUAACCUUACUGUAUUUUAAGACAACAACAACAAAAAUGGUGAUUCUCUGCAUAACAUUUUGUUGUGUAUAUCUUUUUACAUGUGGAUCUUAAAUGGCUGUUUUUAUUGUAAUGAUUGGUUGAUAUUACACUGUAGGAGUCACCAUUCUGCUUUUGAUACAUACAGGUUAUACCAAAGUCUUGGGCCUUCGAUAGACAGCCGGGUAACAGGUUAAUACCAUGUCGGUUCUGGAAAUAAACCAACAUUCCAAGUCAAAUUUUCCAUCCUCAUUUGGGGAAAAUGCAAAUGGUGGAAAAUUGGGAAUUAUUGGAAUUUUCAGUUUGCUUGCGGAAUUGGAAUGGAUUUGACCCCUAACCUUUGACAAGCAGUCUGAAGGGGGCUGUUCAUUGUCUGUUCAGCCCAAGCAGCAUGAGUCUGACCAGAUUUACUGUUAUACAGUAUCACUAGCCUGUCAUCAGAGAGAGAUACCACAUCUGUAUCAGAAGCCUGUCAUCAGAGAGAGAUACCACAUCAGUAUCACUAGCCUGUCAUCAGAGAGAGAUACCACAUCUAGAUCAGUAGCCUGUCAUCAGAGAGAGACCACAUCUGUAUCAGUAGCCUGUCAUCAGAGAGAGAUACCACAUCUGUAUCAGUAGCCUGUCAUCAGAGAGAGAUACCACAUCUGUAUCAGUAGCCUGUCAUCAGAGAGAGAUACCACAUCUGUAUCAGUAGCCUGUCAUCAGAGAGAGAUACCACAUCUGUAUCAGUAGCCUGUCAUCAGAGAGAGAUCGAUACACCACGUCUGUAUAUACUGUAGCUUGACUAGUUGCACAAUUAAAAUAUUUAGGACACACAAUUAUGAUAUAUGCACAUAUAAACGUUGUUCUCUUACACUUUGAAAAUAAACCAACAUUUGAUGAAUAGAUUUUUUGGGGGGGGGGCAUUGUUAUGAUCUGAUUUAUUUUGUUCGUAAAUGUAUUUCGUUACUUAGUAUAUGGUAAUAGUUAUGACUGUAACCCAGAACUCAGUAAUAAUGUAUAUUUAUGUCAAUACA
ensembl:lncRNA